rnacentral:misc_RNA from 1 species
GAAAUGCGAUAAGUAAUGUGAAUUGCAGAAUUCAGUGAAUCAUCGAAUCUUUGAACGCACAUUGCGCCCGCCAGCAUUCUGGCGGGCAUGCCUGUUCGAGCGUCAUUUCAACCCUCGCGCCCACUUCCGGGCAGCGGUGUUGGGGACCGGCACCCGGGGUCAACCCCCCGAGCCGCCCCCUAAAUACAGUGGCGGUCUCGCUGCAGCCUCCCUUGCGUAGUAGCACACCUCGCACCGGAGCGCAGCGCGGCCACGCCGUAAAACCCCCGACUUUCAUGAGUUUGACCUCGGAUCAGGUAGGAAUACCCGCUGAACUUAA